CUGCACGAAUGGCGUAAUGAUGGCCAGGCUGUCUCCACCCGAGACUCAGUGAAAUUGAACUCGCUGUGAAGAUGCAGUGUACCCGCGGCAAGACGGAAAGACCCCGUGAACCUUUACUAUAGCUUGACACUGAACAUUGAGCCUUGAUGUGUAGGAUAGGUGGGAGGCUUUGAAGUGUGGACGCCAGUCUGCAUGGAGCCGACCUUGAAAUACCACCCUUUAAUGUUUGAUGUUCUAACGUGGACCCGUAAUCCGGGUUGCGGACAGUGUCUGGUGGGUAGUUUGACUGGGGCGGUCUCCUCCUAAAGAGUAACGGAGGAGCACGAAGGUUGGCUAAUCCUGGUCGGACAUCAGGAGGUUAGUGCAAUGGCAUAAGCCAGCUUGACUGCGAGCGUGACGGCGCGAGCAGGUGCGAAAGCAGGUCAUAGUGAUCCGGUGGUUCUGAAUGGAAGGGCCAUCGCUCAACGGAUAAAAGGUACUCCGGGGAUAACAGGCUGAUACCGCCCAAGAGUUCAUAUCGACGGCGGUGUUUGGCACCUCGAUGUCGGCUCAUCACAUCCUGGGGCUGAAGUAGGUCCCAAGGGUAUGGCUGUUCGCCAUUUAAAGUGGUACGCGAGCUGGGUUUAGAACGUCGUGAGACAGUUCGGUCCCUAUCUGCCGUGGGCGCUGGAGAACUGAGGGGGGCUGCUCCUAGUACGAGAGGACCGGAGUGGACGCAUCACUGGUGUUCGGGUUGUCAUGCCAAUGGCACUGCCCGGUAGCUAAAUGCGGAAGAGAUAAGUGCUGAAAGCAUCUAAGCACGAAACUUGCC
rnacentral:rRNA from 1 species